AUUGAACGCUGGCGGCACGCUUUACACAUGCAAGUCGAACGGCAGCGCGGGCUUCGGCCUGGCGGCGAGUGGCGAACGGGUGAGUAAUACAUCGGAACGUGCCCAGUAGUGGGGGAUAGCUCGGCGAAAGCCGGAUUAAUACCGCAUACGACCUGAGGGUGAAAGCGGGGGAUCUUCGGACCUCGCGCUAUUGGAGCGGCCGAUGGCAGAUUAGCUAGUUGGUGGGGUAAAGGCCUACCAAGGCGACGAUCUGUAGCUGGUCUGAGAGGACGACCAGCCACACUGGGACUGAGACACGGCCCAGACUCCUACGGGAGGCAGCAGUGGGGAAUUUUGGACAAUGGGCGAAAGCCUGAUCCAGCAAUGCCGCGUGUGUGAUGAAGGCCUUCGGGUUGUGUAGCACUUUUGGCGGGAACGAAAAGGACUGUGCCAAUACCACGGUUCGAUGACGGUACCCGCAGAAUAAGCACCGGCUAACUACGUG
rnacentral:rRNA from 1 species